rnacentral:lncRNA from 1 species
AAGUCACAGGGAACAAGGCAGAAUGAGGUUCAGUGGGGUGUGCCAGGUGUGUGUUGAUCAGCACCAAUGACAGCAUGAAACUGAUGUUCCAGGGACUAAGAUGAAGCAGUUGAAAUCACUGGAUCCCAGGCAGCUUCCAGCCAGCAGAGACAUUCUGUCUUCCCUACACUCGGGGCAGGUCUUGGCAGCGCCCUGCCUGACUCCAGCCUGUCCCUUCUCAUGCCUGGGAAAGCCCAGGAGACCGCGGCGCACUCACCCGGUGGCUGCCUCUGUCCAUGGUGUAAGAGAAUGCUUCUUCCAGGCUCAGCUGAUGUCGAGGAGGCAAAAGAAACAGAGGAAGAGACACAUGUCCUAAAGCAAAGUCGCCGUGCUCAGAAGUGUGGAAGCAGAAGAGUUCGGUGGACUUGGGAAUGCUCCCUUUGUGAUAAAGCCCCAGGGUGGCUGCAACUUCGCUGAGAUCCGUGGAUUCUGCGAUUGGGUCUGUGUUCCCCCAUGCAUGAAUCUGUACCCAGAUAAAAUUCUCUUUGCUUUUA